rnacentral:lncRNA from 1 species
GGAGGCCGAAGAAACACAUUAUCCAGAAUGCUUGCCAGCAGCUUUCUGGUUUAGAAUCUACCAGGCAGAGGCCAAAAGCUCUGAAAGGUCAAAGACAAGAAGAAACGGUUAUUCUCUGUCCAGGGAGUGAAUCCUUGUGGGUUUCAACAGAUUGUGACUCGUUUGUAACCAAAAACCGUGGGAAUUAUUCUCUUGCUGCUUUGGUGAUCAAAGAACAUGGAGGGAAGAUUUCCUGGAUGCCGGAACAAUACUAGGCUUCUCACCGCAGCCCAUGAAGCUAAGACAGGGUGAGCUCUGUGUUUGGCCCCCUCAGGUUCCAGCCCUUGGCUCGGCACUGGCAUUGGCUACGUUGACAGCUAAGAUCGAUGGAGCAUGUAUUGGCUAGUCAUCGCAUUAUGCAUUUCAUGAGCGAUAUUGGAGACUGACAUCUUUCUGUUUCAGUAUCUUGAUGGAUCAGAAGACUAAAAGUCAUCAGGGUUAAAGCAGGAGUUAAGAUUGACAUAACUUUGAGAAACUAGGAAUCUGCAGUGGUUUAGUAUACCGGUGCCCUGAAGUUCUGAACAAAUCUUUCUCAAGGGUGAAGUUACGUGGAUGAAUGGUAACAAAUCCAUACAGGGAAGCAAGUGAUUAAGGCCAGUGUUUGAGGUAAUGUAUUGGAUUGUGAAUCUCUGGGAUAUGUGCUUAUAGUGAUAUCACUUUUAAAGUUUUAUUAUUUUCCACGUUGCUCAAUAUGCUUGGCAUCUGCUUUCAUUUAUAUUCAUUCCUUCACAUUUGCAGACACAUUUGUUAAAGUUCUGAAAUUCCUCAUAUGAGUUUCUGCUUUAGUCAGAAUUUCAACUCUGUAACAACAACAAAGUCUAUAUUUCUUAAGGCAAAAUGGAUUUAAUUCAGCUUAUGAUUUUAGCCCAUAGUCCUUGGCUCUAUAGUGAAGAAAGUCAUCCUGACAAGAGUAGAAUUAUUCUGCUCAUGGUAGAUAGGAAGGAGAGAGAGAGAGACAGAGAGAGAGAGAGGGAGAGAGAGAGAGAGAGAGAGAGAGAGAGAGAGAGAGAGAGAGAGAGAGAGAGAGAUUUAUAUUUAUGUGUUGGUACCCAUGGAGAAGAUAGUACUGGUUUCCUUGGAACCAUAGUUAUGGGAGGUUAUGAACAAGAGACUUGGGUGCUGGGAAUUGAACUGAGGUCCUUUAGAAGAAGAGCAAGUGCUCUUAAUUACUAAUUCACCUUUCUAAGCCAUAUAUAGCUAUGAGUUUUAUUUCAUAGAGGUCAAAAGAAAUACAAUUCUAUGAAUGGAAGAGAAAUAUCUGAAGAAAAGAAGAUGACAUUUUUGUUUGUUUUAAUUUUGGUUAUAACACUUAACAUAAAAUCAACCAUCUUGACAAUUUUGUUUUGCAGGGCACACCACAGAAUCGUUAAUCAUAGGCACCAUGAUAUGCAGAAACUCUAAUUUUGAUAUUGCCAGAGCCUGAAAGUUCUUAAGAAAAGGAAUCAAUUCUUGAUCUUACAGCACAAGCCAUUGCUCUUCUAUUCAGGAAUUUUUCCCCUGUACCCAUAUCUUCGAGGGUUUUCCCUUCUUUCUCCUCUAUAAGUUUCAGUGUCUCUGGUUUUAUGUGGAGUUCCUUAAUCCAUUUAGAUUUGACCUUAGUACAAGGAGAUAGGAAUGGAUCAACUCGCAUUCUUCUACAUGAUAACCGCCAGUUGUGCCAGCACCAAAGAGAGGCCCAUUGGACUUGCAAACUUUAUAUGCCCCAGUACAGGGGAAUUCCAGGGCCAAAA